GACGAACGCUGGCGGCGUGCUUAACACAUGCAAGUCGAACGGAAAGGCCCUGCUUUUGUGGGGUGCUCGAGUGGCGAACGGGUGAGUAACACGUGAGUAACCUGCCCUUGACUUUGGGAUAACUUCAGGAAACUGGGGCUAAUACCGGAUAGGAGCUCCUGCUGCAUGGUGGGGGUUGGAAAGUUUCGGCGGUUGGGGAUGGACUCGCGGCUUAUCAGCUUGUUGGUGGGGUAGUGGCUUACCAAGGCUUUGACGGGUAGCCGGCCUGAGAGGGUGACCGGCCGCAUUAGGACUGAGAUACGGCCCAGACUCCAACGGGGGGCAGCAGUGGGGAAUAGUGCAAAAUGGGCGGAAGCCUGAUGCAGCAACGCCGCGUGCGGGAUAACGGCCUUCGGGUUGUAAACCGCUUUCGCCUGUGACGAAGCGUGAGUGACGGUAAUGGGUAAAGAAGCACCGGCUAACUACGUG
rnacentral:rRNA from 1 species